AGUCUAAAGAUUUUUUAUUUUAGAUAAGACCUGCCCAGUGCUGAUUUAUUUAGGUAAAUGGCCGCAGUACCCUGACUGUGCUAAGGUAGCGUAAUCAGUUGGCUUUUAAUUGAAGUCGUGUAUGAAUGGAUUUAUGGGGCUAAGCUGUCUCAUCAAGGUUUAAUUGAAUUUAAUUAAAGGGUGAAAAUACCCUUGAGUUAGAUAAAGGACGAUAAGACCCUUGGAGUUUUUAUUAAAAGUUAUACAUUAAUGUAACUUUGUGUUUUUGCUGGGGCGGCAGAGGGGGAGUUAUCCCCCUUGUUCUAAUUAGCCGACAUUUGUAUGUACAGUAAAACUACCCGAGGGAUAACAGCAUUAUUCUUUAAAGAGUUUGUGACCUCGAUGUUGGACUAGGAGUUUGCUAGACUAGCCGUUUAGUUUUAUUGUUCUGUUCGAACUAUUUUUCC
rnacentral:rRNA from 1 species